CCUACGGGAGGCAGCAGUGGGGAAUUUUCCGCAAUGGGCGAAAGCCUGACGGAGCAAUACCGCGUGAGGGAGGAAGGCUCUUGGGUUGUAAACCUCUUUUUUCAGGGAAGAUAAUGACGGUACCUGAGGAAUAAGCAUCGGCUAACUCCGUGCCAGCAGCCGCGGUAAUACGGAGGAUGCAAGCGUUAUCCGGAAUGAUUGGGCGUAAAGCGUCCGCAGGUGGUUUUAAAAGUCUGUUGUUAAAGCGUGAGGCUUAACCUCAUAAGGGCAAUGGAAACUGUAAGACUAGAGUACGUUCGGGGCAAGGGGAAUUCCCAGUGUAGCGGUGAAAUGCGUAGAGAUUGGGAAGAACACCGGUGGCGAAAGCGCCUUGCUAGGCCGUAACUGACACUGAGGGACGAAAGCUAGGGGAGCGAAUGGGAUUAGAUACCCCAGUAGUCCUAGCCGUAAACGAUGGAUACUAGGCGUUGUCUGUAUCGACCCGGACAGUGCCGUAGCUAACGCGUUAAGUAUCCCGCCUGGGAGUACGCACGCAAGUGUGAAACUCAAAGGAAUUGACGG
rnacentral:rRNA from 1 species